AACGAACGCUGGCGGCAGGCUUAACACAUGCAAGUCGAGCGAGGACUUCGGUCCUAGCGGCGGACGGGUGAGUAACGCGUGGGAACGUGCCCCUUUCUUCGGAAUAGCCUCGGGAAACUGGGAGUAAUGCCGGAUACGCCGGGCCAUGGCGACAUGGUUUGGGAAAGAUUUAUCGGAGAGGGAUCGGCCCGCGUCGGAUUAGGUAGUUGGUGGGGUAACGGCCUACCAAGCCGACGAUCCGUAGCUGGUUUGAGAGGAUGACCAGCCACACUGGGACUGAGACACGGCCCAGACUCCUACGGGUGGCAG
rnacentral:rRNA from 1 species